UUGCCGCAACUGGAGAAAGUCCUCGCACAGAAACGAAGACCCAACACUGGCAAAAAAAAAAAAAAGUGGAAGUGUAGCAGUUACAUAAUAAGAGACUCCCCCCAUGAUCAUCAGGCUGAUGCUUCUGCUGCCAUGUACCCCCCAGUAUUCAAAGGCUACCCUGAACUAGUAUGAUGUGCUCCAAGUUGCCUCCUGAACCUGGUACACUCUUCCUGGAUCAUCCCUUUCCCCACUCUGGCUAACUCUCGUCUGUCCUUCAGGCCUCAGGUUGGUUGUCCCUUCUUCUGGGUCGCUUCCCCGAACCCCUGCUACCCUGGAUUAGGUACCUUUUCUCUUCAGUGGAUUCCCACGACCUUCAACCUGUAGUGGCAACUCUCCCCAUUGCCAUGUCUGUCUCCUAGACUAGGCUGCAAGCUUGUACAAGUAGGGUGGAAAGGCCUUCUCCAUGUCUUUAAUUUGCAUGAAUUCAACGGUGUGUCCAUAUUAAAAAAGAGGGAGGGAGAGAGAGAGUGAGAGGCUGUUAUUUCAACGGUAUGAGCAAUCCUGAGUGAUUUCCACUGGGCAUCAGUCAACCUACAGGUGUCCCCACAUGGUGUCUUAGUGAGAUGAACGCGAAGCUCGGCUUGAAGGUUCUGUUUGCUUUUGUUUUGUUUCACAUCACACGGCCGCUAAACGUAAUCCACAGGCACCAUCUAGUGAGGAAGCAGCAAUAUGGUCCAGCACUGGAGGAGGUGCUGGUGACUUUGGACUUAUUGAGACACUGGGUUUCAUUCUCUAACACAGUGCAUCCCUAAGGGAUUUUCAAGAUGAUCGAUGCUAGAUUUAAUUUUUGCUUUCUGUGUGAUUUUUAGAACGAACACCCCUGUAAAAUACAACUCCGCUCUACUAGCCAAGCUUGCCCCCCUUUCUCCUGGCAACUACAUCCUCACGCCAUUUAUAUGGCUAUUACAGGAGCUGUCAUGGUCUCACCUGACCCAAGAGAGGACAACAAAUAUCUUCUUCUCCAAGAUUACUGAGUUUGAGGUUCAGAUAAUUAAAGCCACGUUCUUUCUUGCAGGUGAAGCUGUAAGAUGAAAAACUCAAGGGCCCUAUUUUUCAGCACAUGACAAAAGCUAGUCCACUGAAAGGAACAGACAAGAUGGAGAGAGACGUGACCUGAAAACGGCAAAGGCCGGGUCAGCAGGUAUGUGCUCCUUACCACUGGAGGGUUGUAGGCAAAAGCCGGGUUGGGGAGGAUGGGGUACUACUCAUCGGAUAUACGCUUCCUUGGUGCUGAUGUAGGGCAUAUGAAGAAAGACGGCUGCCCUGGUGAGCUUCAAGCCUGAAUCUAUGUGAUUCCAAGGGGUAGGAGAAUAGGUGGGGGGCAGUAAAUGUCGGGGUCGGGGGAGGUGAAAAGGAAGAAUGGUGAGGAUGGGAGAGAACUGAGUUAGUUGGGACAGAGAUGACGUAGAGUGGAUUUAGACAGAAAUAUUUAGCCUGAGAUCUAACUUACUCUGCAAAGUUAAGCAAUGGAAAAAAUGUGCCAGAGAGAGGUUAAUGCCCCCAAAGUUACACAGCUGCGACAGUGGCAGAGCCCAGAUUUGAACUGCAAUCUCUGUGGCUCUAAGGUCCAUGCUUACCAAUCAUCUGGUCUAAUCCCUUCUUCUAACAGAUGAAGACAAAGAGGCUUUGAGACAUGAAGUGACUUGCCCAAGGACACCAAGAUAUUCCAGCAAAACGAAUCCUAGAACCACCAAAACCCAGUGAAAUACUCCUUCUAGGCCAUUCAUGGCCUCCUACACAAUCAGAGAGAAAGUGGAGGGGGAGGUACUGAAUCCCUACAAGGCUCUGAAAAGGCCCCUUCCCUCGUCUGUGCCCGUCACCUCCUUGACAAACUAGGGAGGAGGCUGACGAGGUGUCACAGGGAGUGUGAGGCACUUGGAAAAUAUAAAUCCCUUGAUGAGGAGAGUCCAAGCAAUUACUUACUUGUCAACUUAGGAGGGUAGGGCGGGAUUAAUCUGAGCUCAAAGAUCAGGGUGAAAACAAAGGUGUAAUUAUUACUAUAACAAUGAUAAUAAUUUAUUAACCUGCAGAUUCUAUACAAAUAUUACUCCACCCUUGAGUAGUUUACCUGUUGCAAUUGGGGCUAAGCCACUGGCGAAGGUGGGGAUGGGACGGAGAGAGGUAACCAGAAACGACGACGGCCAGAAGGUAAGAAAACAAACUGGAGAAAGCAAACCUGCUGAUGAGCGGGUGAUGGAGGCUGACGGUGGUCUGACAGGCAAGACAUCUGAUAGUAAAAUCAUAAGCUGUUUCUAGCAGGGAAGGUUUUUCAGUGGAAACCAAAUUUCUCAUUUUUUUGUAUCAGGAACUAAAAACAAGAAUGUUAAGUGAACUACCUAAGAUCACAUAGCUUGUCAGUGACAGAACUUGAACUAGAACUUGAGUCUUUUUACACUUAGUUCUGUGCUGGGCCAAGAAGAACCUACAUGCAAGCCGGAGAGUGCAGCACAUUGGGGAAGAGAAAGACCAGAAGACAAGGUGUUACGAUACAGGUCACAGGGGCUGGUUCACGCCGAUCAAAUGCCCGUCUCGGUUUUCCAUCAACACCCUCCCCCUGCCAACGCAGUUCAAAAAAUAUAACAGGGCCCAAAUCAAACUGGCUGAGAGUGGGAGAGAAAUUGUCGGCUCCCAGUAAGAUAACGUGCUGCUACCACUGGAGCUUUUUUAUUUUUCCAGAAGUGAGAAUCCAUAUAAAGGAAGAAGAAAAUAAAAGACAUCAUGAACCAAUGCCUUCUAGUAAUUUCCCUCGCCUCUCGAAUCAAGCACCCUCGGGUCUCCCAUCUACAUAUUCUCACAGCAACACGCACCUCUUCUUGGCAGCCCUGACCACCGAGGUGACUUUACCUGGAGUCUUGGGGCUACAUGAUUGACACCUGCUUCCCUUGCUAGACUGCAAGCCUGGUCAGGGCAGCAAUGCCCUCUGACUGUAUCACCAGUUUGUCUUUGCUUCCUGGUUUGGAAUUUGGCUGUAGUAGCUAAGAUGUGUCACCCAGACCCCCUGAAAGGAAGACCUUGCUGCCCAUCUGUGGGGAACACAGCCAGCAGACAGCCCUCCCGCUGUCAGCAACUUCAGGGUCUGGCUCAGCUGCAGAGAGCGGUACCUCUGAAGGCCAUACCUUUGGCGAGUGGGCAGUCCAUGUUUGGUGACUGAGUGAAGCAGGGGAUAGUGGAUUGACUGGUGGUCCCCAAAAGAUGUCCUAACCCCCAGAACUUGUGAAUGAGACCUUAUCUGGAGAAAGGGUCUCUGCAGAUGUAACUAAGUUAAGGAUCUCGAAAUGAGGUCAUUUGGGGUUUAGAAUGGGCCCUAAAUCCAGUGACAGAUCCUUAUGAGAAAAAGGCAAAAGUAGAUUUGAGACUGAGACACACAGAGGAGAAGUCACGUGAAGACAGAGGCAGAGACCGGAGGGAUGCUGCCACAAGUCAGUGGGACACCUGGAGCCACCAGAAGCUGGAAGAGGCCAAGAAGGAUGCUCUUGCAAGCUUAGGAGGGAGCACGGCCCUGCUGACACCCUGAUGCUGGACUUCUGGCCUCCAGAACUGCGAGGGAAGGAAAUUCUGUUGUUGCCAUUGGUUACAGCAUCCCUAGGAAAUCAACACACAGGGGGCAUAAAGGGCUGCAUCUGGGCCACUGCGGCAUGACUGUCACUAGUUCCGGCUCCAGAGUUCACCGCUGGGUCCCUGAGGUUCCGUCAGGCCUAAACCAUGUUUGACUUUUUCUUCUGCUUAAUCUGCUUUCUUCCUUCCUCCUCCAACAGAUUUUGAUCCCUAAUAAACACCUCACACUCUAAACUCGGGCUCCCUGACUGCUUCCAGAGAACCCAGCAUGACACGCUAUAAUAAGGCACAGGACUAAAGGCUGUGAUUUGCCCAAGUUCACACACCUGGCCAGCGGUGGAUGGAGCCAAGGAGAACGGGUGCUUUUGCCAGGGUGACGCUGCCUCCGUUGGCUGCUUUAGGUGGAGCAAGACAGCCGUGGCUAUUCUGCACAAAGCACAGCAGAUGAAGAUGCCCAGCCUGCCAGACGGUGUCCUGCGGUUUCCCCUGCUGUUCCAGACCAGUCACAGGUUACAGUCCUGUUAGCGAGAGCCACACGCCGAGCUGGAAUCCCAGCGUGGAGCCUCGGGCUGGGGGCAUGGCGUGUGACAGAAAGAGCGGAGGCUGAAUGGAGGCCCCCCCACCCCAUCUGCUGUUUCUCUGCUCCUUCCUCCUUCUCUUCCUAAAAACAUCGAGGAAAUGCCUGCAAGCUGAGCUCAGAAAGCAUGCGUUACAAGGCCCUGAGCUGGGCAGUGACUGUGCCACAGACAGUAUCCACGCUCGCUUCCACAAACCUGCCUUCCGCCUUCCCCAGCACCACCCCAAAUCGCACAGGACCCUCUGGAGUCUCAGCCCCUCUGUGGAACUCUCCCUUCUCUGAAUUCUCUCACAAUUCACCUCUGGCACAGAGUCUAACAGAGGCUGAACUUCACGCUCUAGUUUCAAACCAACUGUUGAAUGCGUGCAGGAUUGCGUGAGCACCUGAUCAGAGCUACGGCAGGUAUUGGUGACAGGGCGGGAAGGAAGACACAGCCCCUGCCUCGUGGAGCUUACACCCUAGCACGGAAGACAGAUUAAACAAAGAAUGGCAAGUAGAGUGUUAACACAGCGGAGGUAAGGGCUGCUUGGUGCAGAGAACAAAGGAAGUGAGCUGAAUCAAAGAAUUCAAGGGAAGCCUGCCAGCUUCUGAGUUUUCUUACUCUUUGUGCCUGGAAGUCUAGUCUUCCCUAUAAACUGCAUAUGCUUCAAGACCAAGAGCCAGAUGUGAUUUAGCCCUAAUGUCCUUCGUGAGAAAUCAUCAGAAAACACCGGCGAGUUCGAAUGCAGCUAAUGUGAGUGGUGCCUGUAGGGUCACAUGCUGUCCCAUGUUCCACCCACGGCACCCGAGGGGACUUAGGACACUCCUGGGGCUUCACAAGGAAGAAAAUAUAUACAAAUUGCAUAGGAUUUGCUGCCCCAGUUCCUUGGCCUUGCUUCUUGCUUAGUUUCCUCUCUCUGAGCUGCCCUGGCAUUGGCCUAGAAGGAAUCCUAACCCCCAGUAAAAAUAAAAUGUGGAUCUUACACAAACCUGCGUGAAGGUCUCUCAACAGAAAAGUGCCAGGACCCCGAACCCAGCGGCCUGAGCAGAAAGUGGAAAUGCCGACUUUCUUCAUGAAAAGCCCACAAUUAAUUAACUUUAACAGAAUUAACUUCAUUCAAUGGUUAUGACAAUUAUACUUUGUGCUCAGAAGCACAUAGGCCCUGGGACGGUACACAGGAGGCUGGGAUGUGGUGAGGCCCUCAAGGAGCUUACAGUGCGUCAGGGAGGGAAUCCAUUCAGAGAUAAUGAUAAUAAUGACAGUUUCCAGUGAGCGGACGAUGCCCAGGGCCUGGUGUCUAUUAGUUUCUCCCUCGCAACCUCUAGAUGAGGUUCGAGUGUUCCCAUUUUUAGGAUGAGGAAACUGAGGCUCUGAGAUUUUAAUUUUCCCAAAGUUAGAGCAGGCUAGUUACAGAGCCAGGAUCUGAACCCAGCUACUCUAUUUAACUCCAAGGUCUGUUUUUUUCUUUUUCACUAAUCUAUGCUGGACACAUCAAAAUGAAUCUUUUUCACUUUAUAAAGCAGAAUGAUAUAAGUGCUCCACAAGAGACACAUAAGUUAUCAUAAGAGUCAGAGGGGUCAGACAGCUUCAAGGGUGGGGAAGGUCUCAGAAAGGCGGCAAUUUUUAGAUAUUAAUUUUUGUUUUUCUCUUUUCGAUUCAGAAGGAUCCUUACUGUUAACUAGUCCAGCAUUUCCUAUGUGUAAUCUGUAGGGCAAGAUAUUCCUUUAAAGAGUGUGUGUGUGUGUGUGUGUGUGUGUGUGUGUGUGUGUGUGUUCAAGCACGUGUGUAGUUUUAAAUCCUGGGCAAGUUUGCAACUCAUGUCCCCUUCUGGGUAGCUCACAAUGCCCAUUAGCAAAUUAAAGGCUCUGAGAAGGUCCGCAGUUAGGAUUUCCCAAACUUACUUGACCAUGCCACCCUCUUUUGAAAAAAACCUAUGAACAUCCCAAGGAAUUCUUUUAUUUUCCUAAUUUUUAAUGUGAACCAUUUUUUAAAGUCU